rnacentral:lncRNA from 1 species
ACUUUUUUUUUUUUGGUCUUUUUUUAUCUUUUUAGGGCUGCACCUGCAGCAUGUGUCAAGUUCCCCUGCUAGGGGUCGAGUCAGAGCUGCAGUUGUCCUAUGUUACAGCCACAGCAAUGCUAGAUUCGAGUCUCGUCUGCAAAUUACACCACAGCCCACAGCAUCUCCGGAUCUUAACCCAGUGAGUGAGGCCAGGGAUCGAACUCUCGUCCUCAUGGACACUAGUCGGGUUCAUUAAUCACUGAGCCACAUUGGGAACUCCCCUAGGAAACCUGGUUUUAGUGGAUACUGAGGCAAUUCAGGCAGAAGUUUGGAAUGUUCUAUUUGGAUUUUGAUGGAUCUUAAUUUUCUUGUGUACCUUGAGGAAGAAGCCCAGAGGCAUUCAGGUGACUCUGAGAGUUCGGGGUUUUCUUACUCAAUGAAAAGUCUCAAUUUCAUCACUUUCUGCUUUCAGAGAGCAGAGCACCUCAGGUUCAGGAAGGUCAAGAAAUUCUAAGAUGGUUUUUCCCUCUGAGUUAAAUCUUGUAGACUUUUCCUUUUAGAAAGCAAAUCUCGUCCUAACAGGUUUGCUGGAGUCAUGUCACACAGAAGGAAAGUAUGGUUCUCCCAGUGGCCCUAUUGUCAUCUGGGCUAGUUUAGGACACAGAUAUCCUUUGCAUUUGGUUAGUUAGAAACCCCUGGUAUAGGCGUUCCCAGCAUGGCGCAGCAGAAAUGAAUCUGACUAGCAUCCAUGAGGAUGUGGGUUUGAUCCCUGGCCUUGCUCAUUUGGUUAAGGAUCUGGCAUUGCCGUGAGCUGUGGUGUAGGUCUCAGACCUGGCAUUUCUGUGGCUGUGGUGUAGACCAGCAGCUACAGCUCCUAAAUGACCCCUAGCCAGAAAUCUCCAGAUGCCAUAGGUACGGCCUAAAAAAGCAAAAAAAAAAAAAAAAAAAAGAAAGAAACCCCGGUAUAGAAAUAAUCUCUUUACUCCAAGCAAUUUGCUUUUUUAUGAAGGUAGGUUUUGUUUGUUUUUUUUUUUUCACUUUUUUCCUUUUCGGCCACACCCGCAGCUUGUGGAAGUCCCCAGGCAGAGCUCAAACCCACGCCACAGCAGCGACCCAAGCCACAACAUCAGAUCCUUAACCCACUGUACCACCAGGCAACUCCUGAAAGUGGGUGUUAAAGCAGCCAAAGUGGCAGUGGGAAGUACCAACACUGCAUAGGAGUCUCCCCUGUUUACCUCAGUUUCCUUUGCCCAUUUAGAGGAAUCCUCAGGAGCAAUUUGCCGGACCCCUCAGCGCCCCAUCAAUGACUAUUGCUAUUUCAGUAAUCAAAAUUUUUGACUUCCCCAGUGGGAAAACAGUCUGGAUUAAUAGGUAAAGGUCUUUUAAAUGCUGGGUUCAGCAGGGGCAUUGCUUUUCCCAGUGCCCUGAUUGUAUACAGUGAAGGCAAACACUUGAGGGACAGUAUUCAUUCUUUUUUUUUUUAGCUGCAGCUCUGAAAUGUGUGGGAAACCUGUGCCAGAGCAGAGACGACGCCAGACCCUUAACCCGCUGAGGCACAGGGAAAUCCAGGGACACAGUAUUCCUGAGGGGAGGCCCUCUAGGUUCUGGCUUG